AGGUGAACCUGCGGAAGGAUCAUUAAAGAGUAAGGGUGCUCAGCGGCCGACCUCCAACCCUUUGUUGUUAAAACUACCUUGUUGCUUUGGCGGGACCGCUCGGUCUCGAGCCGCUGGGGAUUCGUCCCAGGCGAGCGCCCGCCAGAGUUAAACCAAACUCUUGUUAUUUAACCGGUCGUCUGAGUUAAAAUUUUGAAUAAAUCAAAACUUUCAACAACGGAUCUCUUGGUUCUCG
rnacentral:misc_RNA from 1 species